UCAGACAAAACAUAAAACAGAGAGACAUUCUCACUAAAGGUGUUUCACAUGAUCAUGAGGGAGAUUCAGAACAGAAAAUGGAUUCCUUAGAGAUGAUCGCCUUGGUCAAAUGGCUUACGAUUUGUUAAUGAUGCAUUCUUCAUAUGCUCUUUUAUUUGAUGCCUCCUAUGAAAUUCAUAAAUUCUGCAUAAAAAGUGAGAAGGCCUGGAACACAUAUGUCCUCAUUUCAAAGGCAUUUUGUGCAAGAUCAAAAAGGCUGAAGAUUUAAAAUUCUGAUUCCAGACUUUUGGGCUGAUGGCAUCUUCUAAAAAGAGAGAGACUUGUACUUGCAUUCAUUUAAGUGAAAGGCAUUAAGAAGUAAAUCAUAGGAAGACUGAAAUGGAAACUUCUAAAAUCAAAAAUUAAAUUUG